AUUGAACGCUGGCGGAAUGCUUUACACAUGCAAGUCGAACGGCAGCACGGGGCAACCUGGUGGCGAGUGGCGAACGGGUGAGUAAUACAUCGGAACGUGCCCAGUCGUGGGGGAUAACGUAGCGAAAGUUACGCUAAUACCGCAUACGAUCUAAGGAUGAAAGCGGGGGAUCGCAAGACCUCGCGCGAUUGGAGCGGCCGAUGUCAGAUGAGGUAGUUGGUGGGGUAAAGGCCCACCAAGCCGACGAUCUGUAGCUGGUCUGAGAGGACGACCAGCCACACUGGGACUGAGACACGGCCCAGACUCCUACGGGAGGCAGCAGUGGGGAAUUUUGGACAAUGGGCGCAAGCCUGAUCCAGCCAUUCCGCGUGCAGGAUGAAGGCCUUCGGGUUGUAAACUGCUUUUGUACGGAGCGAAAAGGCUCUCUCUAAUACAGGGGGCUCAUGACGGUACCGUAAGAAUAAGCACCGGCUAACUACGUGCCAGCAGCCGCCGUAACAA
rnacentral:rRNA from 1 species